AGGGGGAAUGGUCGGGAUAGCUCAGUUGGUAGA
rnacentral:tRNA from 1 species